rnacentral:rRNA from 1 species
UACGUAGGGGGCAAGCGUUGUCCGGAAUCAUUGGGCGUAAAGCGCGCGUAGGCGGCCCGGUAAGUCCGUUGUGAAAGUCAAAGGCUCAACCUUUGAACGCCGAUGGAUACUGGCGGGCUAGAGUCCGGAAGAGGCGAGUGGAAUUCCUGGUGUAGCGGUGGAAUGCGCAGAUAUCAGGAGGAACACCAAUAGCGAAGGCAGCUCGCUGGGACGGUACUGACGCUGAGGCGCGAAAGCGUGGGGAGCGAACAGG